GAAAUGCGAUAAGUAGUGUGAAUUGCAGAAUUCAGUGAAUCAUCGAAUCUUUGAACGCACAUUGCGCCCUUUGGUAUUCCAUUGGGCAUGCCUGUUUGAGUAUCAUGAAAUCUUCAAAGUAAAUCUUUUGUUAACUCAAUUGGUUUCUACUUUGGUAUUGGAGGUCUUUGCAGCUUCACACCUGCUCCUCUUUGUUCAUUAGCUGGAUCUCAGUGUUAUGCUUGGUUCCACUCGGCGUGAUAAGUUAUCUAUCGCUGAGGACACUGUAAAAGGUGGCCAAGGUAAAUGCAGAUGAACCGCUUCUAAUAGUCCAUUGACUUGGACAAUACUUUUAUGAUCUGAUCUCAAAUCAGGUAGGACUACCCGCUGAACUUAAGC
rnacentral:misc_RNA from 1 species